AGCGAACGCUGGCGGUAGGCUUAACACAUGCAAGUCGAACGGCAGCACAGUAAGUGCUUGCUCUUACGGGUGGCGAGUCGCGGACGGGUGAGGAAUACAUCGUAAUCUACUUUUUCGUGGGGGAUAACGUAGGGAAACUUACGCUAAUACCGCAUACGACCUACGGUUGAAAGCAGGGGAUCGUCGCACCUUGCGCGAUUGAAUGAGCCGCUGUGGGAGUAGCUAGUUGGCGGGGUAAAGGCCCACCAAGGCGAGGAUCCGUGGCCGGUGUGAGUGGAUGAUCAGCGGCACUGGAACCGAGACACGGUCCAGAGUCCUACGGGAGGGAGCAGUGGGGAAUAUUGGACAAUGGGCGCAAGCCUGAUCCAGCCAUACGGCGUCGGUGAAGAAAGCCUUCGGGUUGUAAAGCCCUUUUGUUGGGAGAGAAAAGCAGCAGGUUAAUACCCAGCUGUUCUGACGGUACCGGGAAAAUAAGCACCGGCUAACUUCGUG
rnacentral:rRNA from 1 species